rnacentral:rRNA from 1 species
UACGUAGGGUGCGAGCGUUAAUCGGAAUUACUGGGCGUAAAGCGUGCGCAGGCGGUUUUGUAAGCCAGAUGUGAAAUCCCCGGGCUUAACCUGGGAAUGGCAUUGGUGACUGUACGGCUAGAGUGUGUCAGAGGGGGGUAGAAUUCCACGUGUAGCAGUGAAAUGCGUAGAGAUGUGGAGGAAUACCGAUGGCGAAGGCAGCCCCCCUGGGAUAACACUGACGCUCAUGCACGAAAGCGUGGGGAGCAAACAGG